rnacentral:lncRNA from 1 species
GUCAUUUGGCCUCUGAUUGCUCUAACUACCAAAUGAUAGCCAGGUGUUAUGGACUUCUCUGUCACUUCAGUGUCCACUCAAAAACGGUUCUUGCAGUGGAUGGUAGGCAAUUUAGGAAAUGAUUCUCAUUACUGGGAUUACUGCAGAGCCAAGAACAGAAUUAACUUGAGCAACACACUUUGCUUCUAAAAGCCUUUAGUAGAGAUAAGCACCUCACAAAAUGAGCUGGGCUUUCAUUGUAAUAUAAACAAAAAAUAUCUGUGAAGAAACUCUGUCAGUAUAAGCCAUUGAACACAGGAGGUUUGUGAUGGAGGCUCACCUGGAGGCUUUUACUCUCCAAUCUGUGAACACUGCAAAAAUGAAUCCAUAGUAGGCACCUGAUAAGGACUUGGUUUAGUCAGUUGAUGGAUGCUUUCACAGAAAUGUUCUGCUCUGAUACACGCAGGGCUGAAUAUAGUGAAAGGAGACGAUAAAUGCCAACAUUUCAAGUCAUGCUACUUUAGCCUCUCUCUGAGUUCGUUUGGUUGAGGGCUGACUCCUGUGUUUGGUCACAGGUGGGGCAUAUGUCCUCUGUACCAGGUCCUCUGUGCCAGAAAGGCUAUUUCAAGUUCCCCUGCGUAGGGAUUUGUGCUGCAGUUGUGGAGGGACUCCAGCAGUGUGGCUUCACCAUGCCUUUCAGAUGUGCCUUUCCUCCUGUUGCUUAUCACGGUGCUGAGAUUCAGGGUUUUAUUUCUCCUUCUGGAACCGAAGCUCCCUUGUCUUCCCUGUUUGUCCUCAUGGAGACCCAGAGACAUGGCUUAUGAAGCAGGACAUUUUUUCUCAUGCCUGACACUGAAACCAAGUUCUGUCUUCACAAUCUGUCUGUAAUAUUUUAAAAUGAGUAAGUGAGUAACCAGAUCCUCUUUGCUGCUUUGAAAGUACCAGCGUGAAGUUUUACUCCUGAUAAUGUACACUGUGGACAUAUCCAGGGACCUCAGCAGGGUGAAGCAGGAGCUGUGCAAGCACAAUCCGUUAGACUACUCAGCCGUUAGACUACUUCAUAUG